GGGGUUGUAGCUCAGUAGUAGAGCACUUGCCUAGCAUGUGUGAGAGGCACUGAGUUCAAUUCUCAGCACCACA
rnacentral:tRNA from 1 species